AGCGAACGCUGGCGGCAGGCUUAACACAUGCAAGUCGAACGCCCCGCAAGGGGAGUGGCAGACGGGUGAGUAACACGUGGGAACGUACCCUUUGGUUCGGAAUAACUUGGGGAAACUAAAGCUAAUACCGGAUAAGCCCUUAUGGGGAAAGGUUUACUGCCGAAGGAUCGGCCCGCGUCUGAUUAGCUAGUUGGUGAGGUAAUGGCUCACCAAGGCGACGAUCAGUAGCUGGUCUGAGAGGAUGAUCAGCCACACUGGGACUGAGACACGGCCCAGACUCCUACGGGAGGCAGCAGUGGGGAAUAUUGGACAAUGGGGGAAACCCUGAUCCAGCCAUGCCGCGUGAGUGAUGAAGGCCUUAGGGUUGUAAAGCUCUUUUACCCGGGACGAUAAUGACUGUACCGGGAGAAUAAGCCCCGGCUAACUUCGUGCCAGCCGCCGCCGUAA
rnacentral:rRNA from 1 species